UUGGUAGGCUAUGUUGGCAUUACGUGCUGCAAAGGAUGAGAUUAAGAAUUUGAAAGAUGAAAUGCAGGCUACUAAAGAUCACAUGCUACAGUAUAAGAGUAUAGCUCAGGUAAAUGAGGAUGCAUUGAAACAGAUGGAAUUUGCACAUGAAAACUUCAAGAUUGAGGCUGAAAAACUGAAGAAGUCUCGAGAUGCUGAAUUACUCUCUUUGAGAGAGAGGGUCUCUGAACUUGAAAAU